UAAAAUGAAAGGGGACUACCACAGGU
rnacentral:piRNA from 2 species